rnacentral:rRNA from 1 species
UACGUACUGGGCGAACGUUAUUCGGAAUCACUGGGCUUAAAGGGUGCGUAGGUGGAACGUUAAGUCCGGUCUGAAAGCCCCCGGCUCAACCGGGGAGGGUGGCUGGAAACUGGCGUUCUUGAGGGCGAGAGAGGAGGGUGGAAUUCCUGGUGUAGCGGUGAAAUGCGUAGAGAUCAGGAGGAACACCCGUGGCGAAGGCGGCCCUCUGGCUCGACCCUGACGCUGAGGCGCGAAAGCGUGGGGAGCGAACGGG